rnacentral:rRNA from 1 species
AGAAUGAACGCUGGCGGCAGGCCUAACACAUGCAAGCCGAGCGAAGUCUUCGGACUUAGCGGCGGACGGGCGAGUAACGCGUGGGAACAUACCCUUUGGUACGGAAUAGCCUCGGGAAACUGGGAGUAAUACCGUAUGUGCCCUUCGGGGGAAAGAUUUAUCGCCAAAGGAUUGGCCCGCGUUGGAUUAGGUAGUUGGUGGGGUAAUGGCCUACCAAGCCGACGAUCAGUAGCUGGUCUGAGAGGACGAUCAGCCACACUGGAACUGAGACACGGUCCAGACUCC